rnacentral:rRNA from 1 species
GAUGAACGCUGGCGGCGUGCCUAAUACAUGCAAGUCGAGCGAACAGACGAGGAGCUUGCUCCUCUGACGUUAGCGGCGGACGGGUGAGUAACACGUGGAUAACCUACCUAUAAGACUGGGAUAACUUCGGGAAACCGGAGCUAAUACCGGAUAAUAUAUUGAACCGCAUGGUUCAAUAGUGAAAGACGGUUUUGCUGUCACUUAUAGAUGGAUCCGCGCCGCAUUAGCUAGUUGGUAAGGUAACGGCUUACCAAGGCAACGAUGCGUAGCCGACCUGAGAGGGUGAUCGGCCACACUGGAAGUGAGACACGGUACAGACUCCUACGGGAGGCAGCAGUAGGGAAUCUUGCGCAAUGGGCGAAAGCUUGACGGAGCAGCGCCGCGUGAGUGAUGAAGGUCUUCGGAUCGUAAAACUCUGUUAUUAGUGAAGACCAAAUGUGUAAGUAACUAUGCACGUCUUGACGGUACCUAAUCAGAAAGCCACGGCUAACUACGUG